CAAGAAGUAGUUUAAUUAAAAUAUUAAUUUUGGAGAUUAAUGAUAAAGGCAUAUCUUUUUUCUUGA
rnacentral:tRNA from 1 species